rnacentral:rRNA from 1 species
UACGUAGGGGGCAAGCGUUAUCCGGAUUUACUGGGUGUAAAGGGAGCGUAGACGGCAUGGCAAGCCAGAUGUGAAAUACCGGGGCUCAACCCCGGGACUGCUUUGGAAACUGUUUGACUGGAGUGCAGGAGAGGUAAGUGGAAUUCCUAGUGUAGCGGUGAAAUGCGUAGAGAUUAGGAAGAACACCAGUGGCGAAGGCGAUUUGCUGGGCCAUUACUGACGCUCAUGCACGAAAGCGUGGGGAGCAAACAGG